rnacentral:rRNA from 1 species
AUAAUGGGUCAGCGACUUAUAUUCUGUAGCAAGGUUAACCGAAUAGGGGAGCCGAAGGGAAACCGAGUCUUAACUGGGCGUUAAGUUGCAGGGUAUAGACCCGAAACCCGGUGAUCUAGCCAUGGGCAGGUUGAAGGUUGGGUAACACUAACUGGAGGACCGAACCGACUAAUGUUGAAAAAUUAGCGGAUGACUUGUGGCUGGGGGUGAAAGGCCAAUCAAACCGGGAGAUAGCUGGUUCUCCCCGAAAGCUAUUUAGGUAGCGCCUCGUGAAUUCAUCUCCGGGGGUAGAGCACUGUUUCGGCAAGGGGGUCAUCCCGACUUACCAACCCGAUGCAAACUGCGAAUACCGGAGAAUGUUAUCACGGGAGACACACGGCGGGUGCUAACGUCCGUCGUGAAGAGGGAAACAACCCAGACCGCCAGCUAAGGUCCCAAAGUCAUGGUUAAGUGGGAAACGAUGUGGGAAGGCCCAGACAGCCAGGAUGUUGGCUUAGAAGCAGCCAUCAUUUAAAGAAAGCGUAAUAGCUCACUGGUCGAGUCGGCCUGCGCGGAAGAUGUAACGGGGCUAAACCAUGCACCGAAGCUGCGGCAGCGACACUAUGUGUUGUUGGGUAGGGGAGCGUUCUGUAAGCCUGUGAAGGUGUACUGUGAGGUAUGCUGGAGGUAUCAGAAGUGCGAAUGCUGACAUAAGUAACGAUAAAGCGGGUGAAAAGCCCGCUCGCCGGAAGACCAAGGGUUCCUGUCCAACGUUAAUCGGGGCAGGGUGAGUCGACCCCUAAGGCGAGGCCGAAAGGCGUAGUCGAUGGGAAACAGGUUAAUAUUCCUGUACUUGGUGUUACUGCGAAGGGGGGACGGAGAAGGCUAUGUUGGCCGGGCGACGGUUGUCCCGGUUUAAGCGUGUAGGCUGGUUUUCCAGGCAAAUCCGGAAAAUCAAGGCUGAGGCGUGAUGACGAGGCACUACGGUGCUGAAGCAACAAAUGCCCUGCUUCCAGGAAAAGCCUCUAAGCAUCAGGUAACAUCAAAUCGUACCCCAAACCGACACAGGUGGUCAGGUAGAGAAUACCAAGGCGCUUGAGAGAACUCGGGUGAAGGAACUAGGCAAAAUGGUGCCGUAACUUCGGGAGAAGGCACGCUGAUAUGUAGGUGAAGUCCCUCGCGGAUGGAGCUGAAAUCAGUCGAAGAUACCAGCUGGCUGCAACUGUUUAUUAAAAACACAGCACUGUGCAAACACGAAAGUGGACGUAUACGGUGUGACGCCUGCCCGGUGCCGGAAGGUUAAUUGAUGGGGUCAGCGCAAGCGAAGCUCUUGAUCGAAGCCCCGGUAAACGGCGGCCGUAACUAUAACGGUCCUAAGGUAGCGAAAUUCCUUGUCGGGUAAGUUCCGACCUGCACGAAUGGCGUAAUGAUGGCCAGGCUGUCUCCACCCGAGACUCAGUGAAAUUGAACUCGCUGUGAAGAUGCAGUGUACCCGCGGCAAGACGGAAAGACCCCGUGAACCUUUACUAUAGCUUGACACUGAACAUUGAGCCUUGAUGUGUAGGAUAGGUGGGAGGCUUUGAAGUGUGGACGCCAGUCUGCAUGGAGCCGACCUUGAAAUACCACCCUUUAAUGUUU